rnacentral:misc_RNA from 1 species
CAGAGAACGUGCCCUCUGGGUACAUCUCCCACCCUGUGUCUACCUUACCUCGUUGCUUUGGCGGGCCCGUCUCGCGACCACCGGCCCCGGCUGGUCUGCGCCCGCCAGAGGACCACAAACUCUGAUUAUCUUGCUGUCUGAGUUACCAUAUAAAUACGUUA